CACCGGCGCUCGUGCUUCGUAUCCCGUCCCGAGCUCCACCUAUCAUCCAACGCCAUCUCCCGCCGCCGGCGUCUGGCAGCGCGUUGGCGCCGCCGCGGCCACGCUACUCGCAGCGGUCCUCGUCGCCGUCGCGCUGGGGCGCCAGCGCCUCCGCCGCAGGGCUCCGGUCGAAGGGAUCCCCGCGCUGGAGGACGGCUGCGCGGUCGCUGACGGCGAAGGGAGCGAGGCAGUCGAUGGCCUAACGGACCUCAUCAUCGUCGGAGCCGGGGUGGCCGGAUCCUAAUUUCUUCACUUUCUUCCUUUGCCAUGUUCCUCCACCCUGCAGUGUGGAGGUGGAUGUUACUUGUCAGGGAGGAAGUUGGUUACAUUUUUUGUUCGUAAGGUGCAGCAGGCACAAAAAUCUCUCUCUAAUCUAGCCAUCAAGAGAUUGUCUGUAUUCACUCUCGAUGAGUUCACGAGAAAGCAACCAUGAAAUCAGAAGUAUGCUGCUAGGUUCUUCGCUUGACUGGAUUGUAGGUGGCCUUGUGUGCUCUCGUUUCGUUGUCAGCUGAGUGCUCUUUGUCAGCUGCUCUGCUUGCCGAGGUUUGCCCUUGCUCUCCUAAAUCUCCUAUUACUCACAAAUUUUCAUGUUCAGUACGUGUUUCAGUUUCAUUUCUUAAUUUAUUUCCAUGCUUGCAUGUAUAUCAUCUAUCUCACUUCAGUUUCACCUUCUUUGACUGCUACACUGAACGCAUGUAUAUCACACUGACGUACUUCAGAUUCACGUAUUUAAAUAUGUGUGGUCUGGUUAUGUGUAUCACAUGUCUUUUACCAUUUGAGUUUCACAUUUGAUUCCUUUCAUUUCCAGUGUGAUACAUAAAUGAUUGGCGCUUUCCAAUUUGGUGCUGAAAUUUAAGCAGCCACUUCAAUUUAGUGCUAUUCGGCACUGAGAUGCAAUGUAACCAAUUACAGAGCUUUAAUUCAUGGUAGACGAAAAUCGCAGAAUGGUGCAUGUUGUGAUUAUCAAGUCAUUGGCUUCCCAACGAUUUAGUGCUAUUGGGUCAUUUGUGUAGUGUUUAACAUGCCCAUGGGAAUCAAUCAUGUGAUCCUGUGGCUUUCGUGUUGUUCAAUUUGAUGGAUGUCCGGGAGUGGUUCUGGCUAGAUGGGUAAUUUAUUCAUCCAUUGUUCUUGUUCUUAUUUGUUUCUUAUGGUGUUGCUAAGUGUACUCAUAAUUAUUCACAAUUACAUGUAAAUAUGUUGUGCCAUCCUUUAAGUUUAUCAUUUUUUUCCCACUGAAAACUGUAGGGCAAUUAUAACGCUGUCUUUUGUAUUAGUUAUGCGCUUAUCCUGCUAUGUAGGUAUAGGAGUUACAUAUUUCGAAUUCGUGCGUGUUAGUUACACAAGUAAGUUUUGCCUUACAAGUAACAUGCUUUCUAGAAUCUUGCUUCCUUUUUAUCAGUUAUUUUGCACUCCGUCUCACUAGAAUCUUGCUUCCUUUUUGUAAUGACUAUGUAUUCUGCUUAUCUACCAAUCUAUGCAUAUUUCACACCUUCUUUUCUUUCAUUGGAUCUUACUCUCAAGUUGUCCAAGGUAAUGAUUUUCAGUAUCUCACUGCCCUUAGGAGGGGCUCGUCACAUUUGCUCCUGAUUCCAUGUUGCCAUUUCUAUACAUUAUUUUUGGUUAAUCAUUUUUUGUUCUUCUGACCAAUGCCACUAUUGGCAACUAUCUUCAAUGCUUUUCAAAUGAUGAUAAUUAAAUAAACCUCCCUUGCAAAGAUGGAAAAGACCAUUUAAUUGUUAAUUAGAAGUUGGGAGAAUAUUGUAACCAUUCGCUGGCAGGUUGAUCAAAGAGUUGUCAUCAUGAUUAUUCGCUUAUUUUAAUAUCAAACAUUUUGAGGUAUAUCAAUCAUGGUAAGUUUCUUAGCCUCUUCACAUUGCACGCAUAAUAUCUGUUGCUUUCCUAGGAAUAUGAUAAAUCCAUGACUUAGGAUAAACACUAAUAUGUUGAGAUCCCUACUUUUACUAAUAUCCUACUUCUACUGAUGCCACUUUCAACUGAUAUUUAUUCAUGGCUUAAGAUGAACGGUACGUUAUGCAUUGCAUAUGAACCAUAAUUUUGCUGCAGCUUUAGUUGAUAAUCGACAACAAAAUAUUUCUAUAGUAAUUUGUUGAAUUCUGGAGUAAGCAUGAAAUGCAUUUGCAUGACCUGACAUUCGCCAAUGUGCUCCUAUUUUUCAAAUAGGCAGGAAUGAAAAGGUGGUUCAGAAUUGAUGGAUAUUCUCCCCCAUGCUUGUUUACAUGUGGCCAUGUUUGUUGCUUAUAUCUCCAUACUUAUAUGUAUUAAUCAGACAGUUGCUCUUUUCUGUUUGUAGACAACUGGAGUGUGUCCUUUGCAUUCACUGCACAUCAGUGCAGUCCAAAUAUUAUAUGCAAUCAAGAAAAAACGGAAAAUAUUAAAUAUUAUGAGUCAGAUAUCAGCUGCUGGUGUCAGGCAGUGGGCAAAUGGAGAAUGGAGACGAUGACGCCGCGGUCCAUGGAGCUGUUCGUGACGCACGAUCACGCGGCGAAGGAGCAAGCAGAUUCUCAGCUGACAUGGUUGCAGCUGGAGGAACACCCCGCGUGGUUGAGCAGGGGCACACUUUUGAGAGGUUCGUGUACUUUGUGAGCACAUUGGACAUGCUGGAGAUGGUGAAUAUAUUAUAUGCUAAAAUGUUUCAUCUAGAUGGGGCUAACAAACGUCAAACCUAACUCAUGCCCACAUAUAUCUCAUGUAGUGAACUCUAGAUGGAGCCUUGGUAAUACUUUUGUGUGUGAUAUCCCACGUACUGAAUUUUAAGCCUUCGAAUGCUCUUGUGUCACAUAUCGCUUCUCUUUGUUAGCUUCAUUUUCUUUUGGAUUUGGAUUGUCUAACUGAAUUAUGCUCUGUGCGACUCUAAUCACAUGUACUACUUCCUAUAGUGAAUCUGAUUCUCUGUUGUAUACUAACUGUAUUGGUGCCCAGAGGGCCUGAUAUUUGUUCGUCGUCCGAACAAUCUCACCUACUGACAUAUGGAUUUCCUGACAUUGAUCUUGCCUCUAACUCAAGGCAGUGUUCAUGUACACAAGUAACAGGCAUAGUAGCGCAGAGGGCUGUGUGAGGAGGCGUCGGAAGGCAUGUUAAACGAGUAAUGAACUCUGUCCGACUAAGACAUGUGCUGCUAUGUAAAAUGGACGCGCGUGACGAGUCGAGGCACUCAAAAGACAAGCGCGCACAGGAACGCUUCAGGAGUUUCCGAGACGUGCGAGGCAAGCGCAGCAAAUAGGAAUCCUUUCUCGUACUUUGCCGUUUCGGAGACACCAGAUAGGAAUCUUUUCUCGGACCUUGCUGUCGCUGCAUCAGGGCCAUCAGGAGCAAGGCAUAUCGCCUGUAAAGGUGCUCGACGUCUUUCUCCAAGUUCGGCAUGGCACCAGCUGCAACGACUAGCUCUGAUGUCUUCACGAAAGUAGAAGUGAAAUCCGUUCUCACGUAUCUGAUAAGAUGCGACAAAAAUGAUGUUUAUGGGUACGGGAAAGAGGGAGAACAAGUCUGAUGUAUAACGGCAUGCUUAUCAUCUGAGAAACAAAAAUCAGUACCUGGUAUUCUCUUCCGUA